GCCAUUGACGUUACAAGUCUUGUAAUUAUUAAAAUUAGAUAGAAUUGCCACCGUCGACUUUCUUAUAAAUAUCAAAUGGUGACCGUUCAUCUCUUCCAGCUUAGAAAACAGAGAUGUACAAUUUUUAUUUAAAAAAAAAGAAAAAAACAGAGAUAUACAUAAUGCCACAUAAAGAUUAUCUGGUUCGUUCGUCAAGUCAAUUACUGGAUGAUGUUAGCUCAAUCUGUGUCUGGAUUUUGCGAGCUUAUCACUGUUUCUAUUUUGGUUGCCUCCGUCUCUAUCUUCUCUACACGUCUCUUUUUAAGAUUUGCCACUUUCAUAAUCACACGUCCAUGGCGUCGACACCGCACAUUCACGGUCAGCAGGUGGAGAAUGGCUGCGAAAGAUCAUUCGUCUCCGCCGUACUGUGUCGUGUGCCUGGAAGAGGCAGAGGAAGGUGAGAAGAUGAGGCGAUUGACGAUUUGCCGACACUGUUUCCACGCGGAUUGCAUAGAUACAUGGCUAGGUGAAAUGUCCAAGUGUCCGUUGUGUAGAGCUGAGAUUCCGCCGUUACCGCCGGCGAAUCCUCUGCUCUCACUGCUUUUUCCGGCCGGUGUGAUCGAUUUGUUCAGCAACAAAGAAUCUCGACGAGUAACGUAGCUCUCUAAUCUCGAAUUCUCUGUUUACUCAAUGCCUAUGACCUGUCAGAGACUCAUUAGCUAAGCCAGCUCUUUAUGGUUUUGUAUUUUUGCAAAGUUAAAGGAAAAAGCAAGCUGAUGACGCAUCUAAACAUUAUAAGAGAAAAGGACCGAAACCGCCAAGAAACUCACAUGGAAAUCACUAACAUAAGCGUAUGAGGACAAGACAUUUCACUUGUAACUUUGUUAUCAUUACAAACAAUUUUAUGUCAUCUUAUAACAUGUAUUUGUAUUUAGUCGAAUCCAAACCAAAUAGUUAUAAA